rnacentral:rRNA from 1 species
UGGGGGAAUAUUGGACAAUGGGCGCAAGCCUGAUCCAGCAAUGCCGCGUGAGUGAUGAAGGCCUUAGGGUUGUAAAGCUCUUUCGCACGCGACGAUGAUGACGGUAGCGUGAGAAGAAGCCCCGGCUAACUUCGUGCCAGCAGCCGCGGUAAUACGAAGGGGGCUAGCGUUGUUCGGAAUUACUGGGCGUAAAGGGCGCGUAGGCGGCCUGUUUAGUCAGAAGUGAAAGCCCCGGGCUCAACCUGGGAAUAGCUUUUGAUACUGGCAGGCUUGAGUUCCGGAGAGGAUGGGUGGAAUUCCCAGUGUAGAGGUGAAAUUCGUAGAUAUUGGGAAGAACNCCGGUGGCGAAGGCGGCCAUCUGGACGGACACUGACGCUGAGGCGCGAAAGCGUGGGGAGCAAACAGGAUUAGAUACCCUGGUAGUCCACGCCCNUAAACGAUGAUGCUAGACGUCGGGGUGCAUGCACUUCGGUGUCGCCGCUAACGCAUUAAGCAUUCCGCCCUGGGGGAGUACGGCCGCAAGGUUAAAACUC